rnacentral:rRNA from 1 species
GCAAGUCGAGGGGUAACGGGGUGCUUGCACCGCCGACGACCGGCGCACGGGUGCGCAACGCGUAUACAAUCUGCCUUAUGCUGAGGGAUAGCCCAGAGAAAUUUGGAUUAACACCUCAUGGUAUCGGAAGACGGCAUCGUUUUUUGAUUAAAGGUUACGGCAUAAGAUGAGUAUGCGUCCCAUUAGCUAGUUGGUGUGGUAACGGCACACCAAGGCUACGACGGGUAGGGGUCCUGAGAGGGAGAUCCCCCACACUGGUACUGAGACACGGACCAGACUCCUACGGGAGGCAGCAGUGAGGAAUAUUGGACAAUGGGCGGAAGCCUGAUCCAGCCAUGCCGCGUGCAGGAAGACGGUCCUAUGGAUUGUAAACUGCUUUUAUACGGGAAGAAUAAGGGCUACGUGUAGCCUGGUGACGGUACCGUAAGAAUAAGGAU